rnacentral:rRNA from 1 species
CAGCCGCCGCGGGAAUACGUAGGUCCCGAGCGUUGUCCGGAUUUAUUGGGCGUAAAGCGAGCGCAGGCGGUUUGAUAAGUCUGAAGUUAAAGGCUGUGGCUCAACCAUAGUUCGCUUUGGAAACUGUCAAACUUGAGUGCAGAAGGGGAGAGUGGGAUUCCAUGUGUAGCGGUGAAAUGCGUAGAUAUAUGGAGGAACACCAGUGGCGAAAGCGGCUCUCUGGUCUGUAACUGACGCUGAGGCUCGAAAGCGUGGGGAGCAAACAGGAUUAGAUACCCCCGUAGUCCCUGUCUCUUAUACA